UGGGUUCGUACGUAUAUUUACACGUAAUCGUUGAUUGUGUAUAAGUUUGACGGUCUCUGUUGUUGCGUGAUCGUGAUUGGGAAUAAUGGACUUAUGGAUAUCUUGCCGAACCUCUCGACUGAAAACUUGGAUACUUCCGGCAGCCUCCUGAAUCUAGUAUUUGAAACGACACAAUCUGGGAGAAGGGUUUAAUUUAUUCCGAAGUCUGGUUAUGAAGUGUGAAUUGAGUUUAUCAAAACUGAGUGGUUAUUCAGCAACGGGACCAACGGCUUUGUGACGUCCAAACCAUCUCGAGAGAACUUCUAUCACCAUAAAUAAACAUCUCGCCCCUCAAUGGAAUGCCAGCGAAUCGAACUCUCAGCCACCGAGGUGGUAGGCAAAGUCCAUACCAACCACACACACUGAGGCGCUUUAAUGACAACUAGCGUUUUAGAGAGUGCAGGCAGAAUGUUCUUCUGUUGGUAGAGCACUAUGAUUUUCAACAGAGUUGGAUUGGAAUCUUGGCUGGGAAUGGAUCCUAUUAUUAGACUUCUCCUCUUUAACCGUACUGUAAAGUUUUCGCCAUUCUUUAGUUCAUAUUUGUAACUGGGUAUUUGCUAUUUCAAUAGACUAUAAAAUUCACAUGCAUGUAGUUUUUACCUUCACAAAUACUAAAUCCGAAUUGAAUGUGUAGUUUGUAGUACCUUGAAACCGAGGAAUGGCUCGGUAUACUUAUUUCCAAUAUUUAGUUUUAUUAUACCUUAAACAACUACGGUUGAAAUUCAACUAUGGUUUAUAACUAAACAAUCUUCACCCUCUCGAGUUAAGCAUUUAAACUGUGGUGAAUAAUAACUUUGUGAUUACAACUUGGUUAUUUUUAUUGUGGUUAUUUUUAUUGUGGUCUACGUGAAGUGAUACUCUAAAGUAUUAGAGCAUAGGUAUUCGUUGGGGUGAAGUGACUUUUAAAUCCAU